rnacentral:rRNA from 1 species
UACGUAGGGUGCAAGCGUUGUCCGGAAUUAUUGGGCGUAAAGAGCUCGUAGGCGGUUUGUCGCGUCGGCUGUGAAAGCCCGGAGCUCAACUCCGGGUCUGCAGUCGAUACGGGCAGACUUGAGUGUUGCAGGGGAGACUGGAAUUCCUGGUGUAGCGGUGAAAUGCGCAGAUAUCAGGAGGAACACCUGUGGCGAAAGCGGCUCACUGGACCAUAACUGACGCUGAUGCACGAAAAGCUAGGGGAGCAAACAGG